CUUUAUUAUGGCUUGAUAACGACACACAUCUUGUCAAAACAUUGUCUGUUACUUGGGAGGACUGAAUAAAAACACACAUUGCAUCUGAAAUUACUGAGUGCUGGAACUUUACUUCUUUUAAUUACUAUUGGAUCCUUGGUGGGUGCUGGGACGUUUACUAACGACAGCACUUUUGUAGAAACAAUUGUAGAAAGUGGUGAGGAAGGCCCAGUUCAAACAAGCUUGCAAUCUAUAGAAACAAUUACACACAGUCACAUAGAUAAGC